rnacentral:rRNA from 1 species
UACAGAGGUCUCAAGCGUUGUUCGGAUUCAUUGGGCGUAAAGGGUGCGUAGGUGGCGAGGUUAGUCAGGUGUGAAAUCUCGGGGCUCAACCCCGAAACUGCACUUGAUACUGCCUUGCUAGAGUACUGGAGAGGAGAUUGGAAUUUACGGUGUAGCAGUGAAAUGCGUAGAUAUCGUAAGGAAGACCAGUGGCGAAGGCGAAUCUCUGGACAGUUCCUGACACUGAGGCACGAAGGCCAGGGGAGCAAACGGG